CUCAGAAACGUUAAACUUCAGGACGGCAAACUGGAAGAAAUAAAAUAUGUCAGUAGACUGUUGCGGACGAAAUUGCGCUCAGAUGUUCAGUGUAAUUAUGAAGAAGAAUUAAGUAAAGAUUUUUGGAAAUUUUGUAAAAAAGAGUUUGAAGAAUCAGAGACACAAGAACCAAAUUUUGACGAAUCGUCCUGCUAUGAUUAUUUUAG